rnacentral:rRNA from 1 species
CGGGACGGGUGAGUAAUGUCUGGGAAACUGCCCGAUGGAGGGGGAUAACUACUGGAAACGGUAGCUAAUACCGCAUAACGUCGCAAGACCAAAGAGGGGGACCUUAGGGCCUCUUGCCAUCGGAUGUGCCCAGAUGGGAUUAGCUAGUAGGUGGGGUAACGGCUCACCUAGGCGACGAUCCCUAGCUGGUCUGAGAGGAUGAUCAGCCACACUGGGACUGAGACACGGCCCAG